UACGGAGGAUGCAAGCGUUAUCCGGAUUUAUUGGGCGUAAAGCGUCCGCAGGUGGUUUUCCAAGUCUGCUGUUAAAGCGCGAGGCUUAACCUCGUACAGGCAGUGGAAACUGGAUGACUAGAGUAUGGUAGGGGUAGCGGGAAUUCCCAGUGUAGCGGUGAAAUGCGUAGAUAUUGGGAGGAACACCAGUGGCGAAGGCGGCGAUCUGGACGGUGACUGACGCUGAGACGCGAAAGCGUGGGGAGCAAACAGG
rnacentral:rRNA from 1 species